rnacentral:rRNA from 1 species
CUACGGGGGCAGCAGUGGGGAAUAUUGGACAAUGGGCGAAAGCCUGAUCCAGCCAUGCCGCGUGUGUGAAGAAGGCCUUCGGGUUGUAAAGCACUUUCAGUGGGGAAGAAAGCCUUGGGGCUAAUACCCUCGAGGAAGGACAUCACCCACAGAAGAAGCACCGGCUAACUCCGUGCCAGCAGCCGCGGUAAUACGGAGGGUGCGAGCGUUAAUCGGAAUUACUGGGCGUAAAGCGCGCGUAGGCGGUCUGAUAAGCCGGUUGUGAAAGCCCCGGGCUCAACCUGGGAACGGCAUCCGGAACUGUCAGGCUAGAGUGCAGGAGAGGAAGGUAGAAUUCCCGGUGUAGCGGUGAAAUGCGUAGAGAUCGGGAGGAAUACCAGUGGCGAAGGCGGCCUUCUGGACUGACACUGACGCUGAGGUGCGAAAGCGUGGGUAGCAAACAGGAUUAGAUACCCGGGUAGUC